rnacentral:rRNA from 1 species
CAGUAGCCGCGGGGAAUACGGAGGGUGCAAGCGUUAAUCGGAAUUACUGGGCGUAAAGCGCACGCAGGCGGUCUGACAAGUCAGAUGUGAAAUCCCCGGGCUUAACCUGGGAACUGCAUUUGAAACUGUCAGGCUGGAGUCUUGUAGAGGGGGGUGGAAUUCCAGGUGUAGCGGUGAAAUGCGUAGAGAUCUGGAGGAAUACCGGUGGCGAAGGCGGCCCCCUGGACAAAGACUGACGCUCAGGUGCGAAAGCGUGGGGAGCAAACAGGAUUAGAUACCCGAGUAGUCCCUGUCUCUUAUA